CCACAGCCCCCCCACCCCCACCUCCCUCCUUGGGAGUGAAGGCUGCCGCCAUUUCCUGCUUGCCAUUCACCUCACACAGUAGGAUGUCGCUCCAGAAAUUUGCUUCAGACAUCUUCAGAGCCUUCUGGAGUCUUCUCUGGUCCCAGCAUGGGCCACCAAAUGUUGACCUGAAACAAAUAGACAGCCAGAUAUUUCUCUAGCAAGGAUGAAUUUAUUCCAGACCAACAGCAAAUUGAAAUUCUGGAUCUGCAGCAUUGGUCCUGAAAAUCACUAAUCUGCUUUUUGUCUACAUAGAUUUGUAUAUUCUGGAUGCUUUGAAGUUAUAUAAUGUGAAGUCUUUUGUGAUUGGCUUCUUUCACUUAGCAUAGUAUUGUUAAGGGAUAUUCAUGUUGUAGCAUGGAUGGUACUUUGUUCAUUUUUAUGGCUAAAUAAUGUUCCAUUGUGUGAAUACAUUACUUUUGUUUAUUCAUUCAUCAGUUGAUAGACAUUUGUAUGGUUUCUGCUUUUUGGCUAUCAAGUAUAAUGAUGUUAUGGACAUUUGUGUAAAAGCUUUUGUGUAGACAUAUAUUUCAAGUCUCUUGGGCUUUUACCUAGGAUUGAUACUGCUGAGUGAAAUUGUGACUCUGUGUUUAACAUUUUUAAGAACUCCCAAAUUGCUUUCAAAAGUGCUUCACAUUUUUGCAUUCCCACUGGCAGUUUCUGAGUGUUCUAAUUCAUCACAUCCUCACCAACACUUGUUGCUUGUUUUUAUUUUUAUUUUUUUAUUUUAGUCAUUCUUAUAUAAAGGGACAUCAUAUUAUAGUUUUGAUUAGCAUUUUCCUUAUGACUACUUAUAUCAAGCAUGUUUUCAUGUGCUGUUGGACAUUUGUAUAUUUUCUUUGGAGAAGUGUCUAUGCAAAUAUUUUGCACAUUUUUAAUUGGGCUGCCUUUUCAAAUGAUUUCUAAGAGUUCUUUAUAUGUUGUGCAUACAGUAUCAUUGUCAGAUAAUUUAUUGUAAACAUCUUCUCCCAUUCUGUAUCAUUUCAUUUUCUUUGAAUUGAAUGUUUUUGGUAUUAAUAAAGUUUAUUUUUUUCUU